GUUAAGCUUGUGAAGGGCAAAUGGUGGAUGCCUUGGGUAGUAGAGGCGAUGAAGGACGUACUAGACUGCGAUAAGCUAUGGGGAGCUGUCAAGAUGCUUUGAUCCAUAGAUUUCCGAAUGGGGCAACCCAAUACAUAGCAAUAUGUAUUACCUUAAAUGGAGCGAACCUAGUGAAGUGAAACAUCUCAGUAACUAGAGGAAAAGAAAUCAAUAGAGAUUCUCUUAGUAGCGGCGAGCGAACGGGGAACAGGGCAAACCAGUAGCUUGCUACUGGGGUUGAGGACUGCAACAUCCACGGAGAGACUCUAAUAGAACAUUCUGGAAAGGAUAGCCACAGAGGGUGAUAGCCCCGUAUAUGAAAGAGUCUUUCUAGGUAGCAGGAUCCAGAGUAGGUCAGGACACGUGAAAUCCGGGCUGAAGCAGGGGAGACCACUCUCCAACCCUAAAUACUACUACUACACCGAUAGCGAACCAGUACCGUGAGGGAAAGGUGAAAAGAACCGCAGUGAGCGGAGUGAAAUAGAACCUGAAACCAUUUGCGUAAGGUCAUUCAGAGCCCUAUGAGCGGAGUGAAAUAGAACCUGAAACCAUUUGCCUACAAUCAUUCAGAGCCCUAUGAUUUAUCAGGGUGAUGGACUGCCUUUUGCAUAAUGAUCCUGCGAGUUGUGGUAUCUGGCAAGGUUAAACUAAUGUGAAGCCGUAGCGAAAGCGAGUCUGAAAGGGCGAUUUAGUCAGAUGCUGCAGACCCGAAGCUGAGUGAUCUAUCCAUGGCCAAGUUGAAAGUGGGGUAACACCUACCGGAGGACUGAACUCGUACCCAUUGAAACGGGUUGGGAUGAGCUGUGGAUAGGGGUGAAAGGCCAAUCAAACUCAGUGAUAGCUGGUUCUCUUCGAAAUAUAUUUAGGUAUAGCCUCAAGUGAUAGUAAUAGGGGGUAGAGCUCUGAUUGGGCUAGGGCUGCUCACCGCGGUACCAACCCCUGUCAAACUACGAAUACCUAUUACCGUAUCUUGGGAGUCAGGCGGUGGGUGAUAAAAUCAAUCGUCUAAAGGGGAACAACCCAGACUACCAACUAAGGUCCCAAAGUUCUAUUCUAAGUGGAAAAAGAUGUGGAGUUACUCAGACAACCAGGAGGUUGGCUUAGAAGCAGCCAUCCUUUAAAGAUAGCGUAACAGCUCACUGGUCUAGUGAUUCUGCGCUGAAAAUAUAACGGGGCUAAGAUAGACACCGAAGUUGUAGAUUGUGCUGAUGCACAGUGGUAGAAGAGCGUUCACAUCAGCGUUGAAGCCAUACCGGUAAGGAGUGGUGGAGCGGUGUGAAGUGAGCAUGCAGGAAUGAGUAGCGAUAAAAGUGGUGAGAAUCCACUUCGCCGAAAAUCUAAGGUUUCCUACGCUAUGCUCGUCAUCGUAGGGUUAGUCGGGUCCUAAGACAAGUCAGAAAUGGGUAGUCGAUGGAAAAUAGGUUAAUAUUCCUAUACCAACAUUAGUGUGCGAUGGGGGGACGCAUAGGGUCAAGACAAGCUGACGGAUAGAAGUGUCAGUCGAAGGGUGCAAGUUAGGAGAUUGGUAAAUCCGCUCCCGUAUCCCAAACCCAACAGGCAUACCAAAACCUUCGGGUAGCGGUGUGAAUUGUUAAGAUCGUCGUGCCAAGAAAAGCCUCUAAGUUUAGCUAAUGUUGCCCGUACCGUAAACCGACACAGGUAGAUGAGAUGAGUAUUCUAAGGCGCGUGAAAGAACUCUCUUUAAGGAACUCUGCAAACUAACACCGUAAGUUCGCGAUAAGGUGUGCCACUUUAAGUGGUCUCAGCAAAGAGUCCCUCCCGACUGUUUACCAAAAACACAGCACUUUGCCAACUCGUAAGAGGAAGUAUAAGGUGUGACGCCUGCCCGGUGCUCGAAGGUUAAGAGGAUUAGUCAGCCGCAAGGUGAAGCUUUGAAUUGAAGCCCGAGUAAACGGCGGCCGUAACUAUAACGGUCCUAAGGUAGCGAAAUUCCUUGUCGGUUAAAUACCGACCUGCAUGAAUGGCGUAACGAGAUGGGAGCUGUCUCAAAGAGUGAUUCAGUGAAAUUGUAGUGGAGGUGAAAAUUCCUCCUACCCGCGGCAAGACGGAAAGACCCCGUGGACCUUUACUACAGCUUGGCACUGCCGAUGGGAGCAUUAUGCGCAGCAUAGGUGGGAGGCUUUGAAAUCUUUACUCCGGUAGAGAUGGAGCCACCGUUGAGAUACCACCCUUAAUGUUUCUGUCUGCUAACUAGCUAGAGUUAUCCUCUAGUAGGACAAUGCCUGGUGGGUAGUUUGACUGGGGCGGUCGCCUCCUAAAAAGUAACGGAGGCUUGCAAAGGUUGGCUCAAAAUGGUUGGAAAUCAUUUGUAGAGUGUAAUGGCAUAAGCCAGCCUGACUGUAAGACAAACAAGUCAAGCAGAGACGAAAGUCGGUCAUAGUGAUCCGGUGAUUCUGUGUGGAAGGGUCAUCGCUCAAAGGAUAAAAGGUACCCCGGGGAUAACAGGCUGAUCUCCCCCAAGAGCUCACAUCGACGGGGAGGUUUGGCACCUCGAUGUCGGCUCAUCGCAUCCUGGGGCUGGAGCAGGUCCCAAGGGUAUGGCUGUUCGCCAUUUAAAGCGGUACGCGAGCUGGGUUCAGAACGUCGUGAGACAGUUCGGUCCCUAUCUGCCGUGGGCGUAGGAAAGUUGAGGAGAUCUGUCCCUAGUACGAGAGGACCGGGAUGGACAUACCACUGGUGUAGCUGUUGUCCUGCUAUGGGCAUCGCAGCGUAGCUACGUAUGGAUGUGAUAAACGCUGAAAGCAUCUAAGCGUGAAGCCAACUCCAAGAUGAACUUUCCCUGAAGGUCGCAGGAAGACUACCUGCUUGAUAGGGUAGGGGUGUAAGCAUAGUAAUAUGUUUAGCUGACUACUACUAAUAGACCGUUUGGCUUAAUUGAU
rnacentral:rRNA from 1 species